UUAUUCCCACUAACGGUUUCAGAUGAGAUUAUAUAGUGAAACAUAAAUUGUUUCACUUAACAAACACAUAUAUUGAUUAUAUUCAAAACAAUAUCAAUGCCUAAGGCAUGUUAACAAGUAUCACAAUAAGUCUAAUAUGCGAGCUUAAACAAGAAUAUGUUUUAACUAAGAUGACAUUCAUGUUACAAUAUCAUGGGGAAAUUGCAGGAUUACAAUUGCACGGUGGAAUUCUUUUUGAGUCUGUCUUGCAGCUUGAAACCAAGCAAAAUCAAACUUGACCAGCUCCCGACUAUGAUUCAACAACUGAUGGAGGCAGAUUUUUCUCAUAUUCAACACCGGCAAGCUCAGGGCGUAAGUCCCACAUAUAUUUCAUCAUAUUUUAACUACUUUUCCAACGCCUAGCUGAUCAUUUGACUUCUGUUGGGACCACCUAAAGAGAAACGGAAUGCAUAGGCGAGGUGGGUAGAUCAAUAGACUAAACCUUCUUCGGAAGGGUCUCACCUGAAAACAGAAGAUACAUUUCUGCCAACUAACAAAAACUUGUGCAAUAAUGCAGCACAAACUGGUGCUACAAUCAGAACAUCUCCGAUAAGAAAUGAAACAAUCAUUCCAUGGUCCCCAUGAUAUCUAGCAUCAACAUUUGUGGAAUAAAUGGAAAAAACUUCCAUUUUCUACACUGGCGUAAGAGGGUAAAAUCAUAGAAAUCCAAAUCACCAAGGAGUAAUUCUCACAACAAAUCACACCCUCAACAAGAAUACUUGCCACAAACAAUACAUCAAACAAAAUCAUAACAGACACUGUUGUGUGUGACGAACGAUAAUACACUCAACAGACGCAUGUAUGGAAACUGCACAAAAAAAUGAUGCCGAUGAAAGGAAAUCAACAAAAUAUCCAAACUUACCCAGGACAUUGUCAAAAGUAAAAAAAGUUCUUUAGAACCUGCAAAAAUAUUACAACCCUACCAAGCAGACAUGUCGAUAUCACUCAUACAUAUAAACAGUCCACAGAUAAACAAGCAAAUUUUCACCAUACAUGACCAUAAGUAACUUGGUAUCACAAGACAAUACACAAGAAUGUAACAAUGAUAAUUCAGGUAUUUAAAUAGACAGACUGCAAAGCAGUCAUAAGAAGUACAUGUCUAGUGAAAGAGUUCACAUAAAACACUAAUCUAGCUUGAUUUAUCUCUUAACAACGAAAACUCAGAGCAAAACUGAUUUCCAGAUCAGAGGUAGCCAGAAUAUGCAAGACAUCCAUGUAUGCAGACAACACUUCUGAAUUCAGCACAACCAUUCAAAGCACAUGCUCCCAAGAGUUGUCAACAACCUGAGUCACACAUUCACUAGAAUUCAAUAAAUAGUUCAGCUGAGCAGAAAUAUACAGACAAAAUACAGGUAAUAUGACACUAAAAACAAGGGUUAGAAAUACAAUGCUUAUAGUUCAUCAAGUUCCAAAUACCACACCUAAUACUUACUUAUAUAGAUGAUACAAUGCAGGAAUAAAAAAGUAUAAUCAGUUAAAACUACAUUUGGCAAACUUUAGAGUAAAUACUGCAAAAUUAAUCAGAACAGAGCAAAAUGAUGCAAAAACAAAAUCAACAAGAGCAUAAAAAGAAUAUUGACGAACAGCAAACCUAGUGUUCAUGUUCAAGUGACAAAAAAACUAAAUAUGGUACAACCAAGAUAAAAUAGUAAUCUUGAAGAGUAAUAUUUCUACUAACUAUAAGAUAACACUUUAUGUUAUAUUACGCUUUCAAUGAUACAUAACCAGUCAAUUUAUCGCAGGAUGUGUAUAGUUAUGUUUUGAAUUCACCAAUGAACUGAAAGAGUGGCCAAUAAAAAUGAAAAUAAAGCUAUUCAAAUACAAGAUGAGAUCCAUUCUAUGCAUAAGCACAUGAUGUGCAACCGCAAACUAAUGGCAGAAACAUUAGAAGCAGAGAUUUCCCAUGGGUGUAUUAUGUAGUCCAGAUGUAUAUACAAUACAACAUACUAGGACAGAAGCAUUAGACAAACAUGGCAUAACCAAAACUUCAACAUUGGAGAAAUCUAACUAAUCAAACAUAAGGAAGCAUUAUAUAACCGCAAUCCAUGAAUCAAAAUCUGGAACAGGAAACUACAGAUUGUAUGUUUUUGUGAUGUGGAACGUGGAAAUGUCUAGUUUCAGGUUCUACGAAAUGUGCUAAUGUUCUGGCAUUAUGAACUAAAUAAGAAACCCAAGGGUGUCGGAUCUGAGGAAGAAACUGAAUUAGCAACCCAAUAAAUGUAAAACCUCAUCACAUCAAUCAACAUAUUUCAGACAUUAACAAACAUCUAAAAUGGUCAAGCAUAUCAGCAUGGGCCCAUUACAAUACUCUGUACAUGACAGAAAUUGCUCAGAUUGUUUGCCAACUGCUGUCACUCCACAACAGAAACACUAUAAUCAACUACAAACCAGCAUAGUUAGAUCAGGGCAACAACACACAGACACAUAUGAUCUGUUAGCAUAACCAAAAUCAACAACAGCAAAGCUCAAUCGUCCAAAAACAACAGCUUGGUCACAAAUCAUGUACCAACUUUUCACAAUGGCAUGUCAUGAAGGAAGACAGAAAGAAAAAACAUGCAACACACAAACACAAUACCAUUUAGUGCAAGGGAUGCAUCAGAUUAUCAUGCCAACAUAAACAUGGCAAUGCCACAAAAAUUGAAGUAUCGACCCACAAAAAACCACAGAAUAAGAAGCAAAUAGCACACUAACAGGAAAAGUAUGGAACAUGUCACACGAUACACCAUUAACCUAGCAACCCCAUACCAACCAAUCAACUUUUGCAGCACCACAUCGCUAAGUCGUCUUACAUAUUUUGCUAGUUCAAACCAGGCAGCAAUCAUCCAUUCCAGUUACAUCACAUAUUCACAUAAAACGCAAACGCAGCAUGACGACAAUGCAACAAUCACAAUUUGCAAACAGGCAUAACACACCAUAGUAUUUCAGGCAUAACACAUAGUAUUUCAUCAUCAUCAUUAAGAAAAUAGCGGAAGACAUCUAUGAUGCACGACUUAUUUUGCUACAAUAUGCCACUCCAAAACAAGCACACUCACCUAGUAAAAGCAAGUAACAACAGAAGGGUGUGAAAUUACCUUAGAAAUAAGGUGGCACAUUGGGGUACAUAGGAGGAGCCCUGCCACCUGGUCCUGGUGACAUCCCUUGAGGGUCCUGACCCCGGAACCCAGAC
rnacentral:lncRNA from 1 species